AUGGUCUGGCCUUGUACCAGGCAGCCUGACCCUGACCUCAGUAAAUUCCCGGGAAUAGUUUUCCUUGGGGUUUGAAUUUGCAGUAAUAGGUGUGAACAUUGUAGCAGUUUGAUCAUUAUGUAUGAUAUUGCAAAUAAGA